CUUGGUCAUUUAGAGGAAGUAAAAGUCGUAACAAGGUCUCCGUUGGUGAACCAGCGGAGGGAUCAUUACCGAGUUUACAACUCCCAAACCCCUGUGAACAUACCAUUUGUUGCCUCGGCGGUGCCUGCUUCGGCAGCCCGCCAGAGGACCCAAACCCUUGAUUUUAUACAGUAUCUUCUGAGUAAAUGAUUAAAUAAAUCAAAACUUUCAACAACGGAUCUCUUGGUUCUGGCAUCGAUGAAGAACGCAGCGAAAUGCGAUAAGUAAUGUGAAUUGCAGAAUUCAGUGAAUCAUCGAAUCUUUGAACGCACAUUGCGCCCGCCAGUAUUCUGGCGGGCAUGCCUGUUCGAGCGUCAUUUCAACCCUCAAGCCCCCGGGCUUGGUGUUGGAGAUCGGCGUGCCCCCCGGGGCGCGCCGGCUCCCAAAUAUAGUGGCGGUCUCGCUGUAGCUUCCUCUGCGUAGUAGCACACCUCGCACUGGAAAACAGCGUGGCCACGCCGUUAAACCCCCCACUUCUGAAAGGUUGACCUCGGAUCAGGUAGGAAUACCCGCUGAACUUAAGCAUAUCAAUAAGCGGAGGAAAAGAAACCAACCAAUC
rnacentral:rRNA from 1 species